rnacentral:miRNA from 1 species
AACACCUUAAUCACCAAUGUG